rnacentral:rRNA from 1 species
CCUAGUAAAAAAGCUAGGAUUACAACAUAAGACCAGAAGACCCUGUGAAGCUUAAACAAAACUAUUAAACCAUAUAAUAACUACUUUCGGUUGGGGCGACCUUGGAAAAAAAAAGAACUUCCAAAUAAAAUGACUAUCUCAUUAACCUAAACAGGCCAACAAGCCAAAAAUGACCCAGCACAGCUGAUAAUUGAACCAAGUUACUCCAGGGAUAACAGCGCAAUCUUCUUCAAGAGCCCAUAUCAAAAAGAAGGUUUACGACCUCGAUGUUGGAUCAGGACAUCCUAAUGGUGCAGCCGCUAUUAAAGGUUCGUUUGUUCAACGAUUAAUA